CCUACGGGCGGCUGCAGUCGAGAAUCUUCCACAAUGGACGAAAGUCUGAUGGAGCGACGCCGCGUGAUUGAUGAAGUCCCUCUGGGACGUAAAGAUCUUUUAUGAGGGAAGAAGUUUAUUGACUGUACCUCAUGAAUAAGAGGCUCCUAAUCUCGUGCCAGCAGGAGCGGUAAUACGAGAGCCUCGAGCGUUAUCCGGAAUUAUUGGGCGUAAAGGGUGCGUAGGUUGUUCUGUUAGUCUUUUGUCAAAGCCCGGGGCUUAACUUCGGGAUCGCA
rnacentral:rRNA from 1 species